rnacentral:rRNA from 1 species
UACGUAGGGUGCGAGCGUUAAUCGGAAUUACUGGGCGUAAAGCGUGCGCAGGCGGUGAUGUAAGCCCGAUGUGAAAUCCCCGGGCUUAACCUGGGAAUGGCAUUUGGGACUGCAAGGCUCGAGUGCGGCAGAGGAGACUGGAAUUCCUGGUGUAGCAGUGAAAUGCGUAGAUAUCAGGAGGAACACCGAUGGCGAAGGCAGGUCUCUGGGCUGACACUGACGCUCAUGCACGAAAGCGUGGGGAGCAAACAGG